CCUCCCUGCCGUCCUGCUAACACACUGCAAGGCCAGGUUCUCACAGCCCCUGUGGCUCCCAGCUGCUUCCAAUGGAUUCAUUGUCUGCCUUGUUUUGUUUGUCCCAAGUUCAGGCCACCCUGUUGGUGAGUGGCCUCUUUCAAAGGUGAGCUGGCCUAUCUCGGCCUUGGACAAUCGGUCCUUUCAAGGGGGACAGGCAGCUCUGUGAACCGUCUCUGCCCUUGCUCAGGCGAAUCUCCGCCACGGCCACCGGGCCCAGGAACAUGCUGCAAAGCUUGGCCAGGAAAACAGCCCAUCUUGUUCUGCCUUCUAUCCUCUGAUGGAAGCGCUCCACGUCUUCUGCUGGCUUAGAUGAACUGGCUGUCAUGUCCCACCAUGGCAUGCUGACCACUGCAUAGGCAUAAGCAACUGAGAAGGUCCAGUCCUGACACAUGUACUACAAGGAAUGUUAGCAGGGAGCAGGAUCAGAAACAGAGUGGCCAAGAUCCUAUCGAAUGUGGAAUGCCAACAUCACUACAAUACCUGCCCCAGAGCACAUU